rnacentral:rRNA from 1 species
GACGGAGGAUGCAAGCGUUAUCCGGAAUUAUUGGGCGUAAAGCGUCCGCAGGCGGCUGUUCAAGUCUGCUGUCAAAGACCGGGGCUUAACUUCGGAAAGGCAGUGGAAACUGAACAGCUAGAGUAUGGUAGGGGCAGAGGGAAUUCCUGGUGUAGCGGUGAAAUGCGUAGAUAUCAGGAAGAACAUCGGUGGCGAAGGCGCUCUGCUGGACCAUAACUGACACUCAGGGACGAAAGCUAGGGGAGCGAAUGGG